rnacentral:rRNA from 1 species
ACGCUCGACACCUACGGGAGCAGCAGUGGGGAAUAUUGCACAAUGGGGGAAACCCUGAUGCAGCGACGCCGCGUGAGUGAAGAAGUAUUUCGGUAUGUAAAGCUCUAUCAGCAGGGAAGAAGAUGACGGUACCUGAGUAAGAAGCCCCGGCUAACUACGUGCCAGCAGCCGGACGGUAAUCUGAGGCGGGCUGGACAAGGC